CAAUAGCGUAUAUUAAAGUUGUUGCAGUUAAAAAGCUCGUAGUUGGAUUUCUGGUUGAAGCGACCGGUCGGGCGUUGAUUCGUCUGCACUGGAGUCGGUUUUGGCCAUCCUCUAGGAAAGUGCGUCUGGUAUUAAGUUAUCGGGCGUAUGAUCCUGGUCUUUUACUGUGAAAAAAUUAGAGUGUUUAAAGCAGGCCUUCGCCUUGAAUACAUUAGCAUGGAAUAAUAAGAUAGGACUUUGGUCUAUUUUGUUGGUUUGCAGACCGAAGUAAUGAUUAAUAGGGAUAGUUGGGGGUAUUUAUAUUCCGAUGUCAGAGGUGAAAUUCUUAGAUUUUCGGAAGAUAAACUUAUGCGAAAGCAUUUACCAAUGAUGUUUUCAUUAA
rnacentral:rRNA from 1 species